GAUCUGGCUCAGGACGAACGCUGGCGGCGCGCCUAACACAUGCAAGUCGAACGAGCGAGAGAGAGCUUGCUUUCUCGAGCGAGUGGCGAACGGGUGAGUAACGCGUGAGGAACCUGCCUCAAAGAGGGGGACAACAGUUGGAAACGACUGCUAAUACCGCAUAAGCCCACGGUGCCGCAUGGCACAGAGGGAAAAGGAGCAAUCCGCUUUGAGAUGGCCUCGCGUCCGAUUAG
rnacentral:rRNA from 1 species